CGGACGCUGUUCUUCCAGGAAGAGCUGCAGAGACCCUGGGAACAGGACCAGCCCAGCUCGCAAGUAUGAAGAGAAUGUCGGGAGAGGAAGUGGUGGUUGUGAGUCAGCAUGAGUCAUCUUGUCCCAAUGAGAAUGAAGACUGAGGUGUGCGCCUUUUCCCCCUUCUAGUUUUUUUUUUUCUUGGUCUCAGUUGUGUGGACAUCAUUGGGAAUGGAGGGAAAUUAGUGACGGGGUGACUGUUGCUUUUUAAGUCUCCAGCUGAUGCUCCAGGCGAGCCGUGCCUGAGUCAGUGUCCGACUUCACAGCACAGUUCCUGGACCGUGCAGCCUUCAGCUUCUCCCCGAAUAACUGGGAGAUGAAACAGGAAGCUCGAUGACACACUUGAUCGAAAAUGACACAGACACACAAAAGCAGGACUCGGCCCCCACCCGCACCUCUGUCUGCUGCCCACUGCCCGCAGUCGGAAUGCAGGGAAAGGCUUUGCCCCGGGACCCGGUCCUGACAGUGGUGGACAAGCAGGUGGACAAGCAUUACCCCAGUCGCCGAAAUCCUCACCCCAUUUCCUUGCUGAGCCUCGUUACACAUGGACCCUCACUCCAUUUCCCUCAUGGCAGCUUCUGAGAUACUGAAAUGGAAAGACAGAGACAGCUGAAGUCUGGCAGCAAAAAGUGACUCUGAAGACAUCUCUGUGAUAGCCGAGGACUUACCUUUCUUUCUCUGGACAGGUGGCUGUGAGUUGGUUGCCAGCAGCUCAGCCUGAAGGAGUCCGCUCAGCAGUGCAGGUGACUGAAGUCCUGGGAAUGGCACUACUGACCAGCUCCCUGGCCUCCAUCUCAAGGACCGGAGUAUGAGGCACAGUUAGAGGCCCUGGGCCACUUGUCCACUUCUAGAUCAGAUGGCUCAACUACACGGUGUGGGCUGGGCCUGGAAGGAUUCUGGUGCCAGCAGAUGGGCGGAUCCUGGCUUCCCUACACCCUGCUUUUCACCUGUCUCUCUACAUCUAGUGCUCAUUCUAAGGCAAAGCACACGGCAGCUGGAUGCUCACUGAACUGGUGGCCCUGCUCCAAGGACUGAGCCUCAAACAGGGACAUUGGAAGGACCUGCUGGGCAGAAUUGUUGUGAGUAAA